rnacentral:tRNA from 1 species
GGUGGCAUGGCCGAGGGGCUAGGCACCGGUUUGCAAAACCGUUUACGGGGGUUCAAAUCCCUCUGCCACCU